GCGGCCAUAGCUCAGGGGUAGAGCUCCGGCUUCCCAAGCCGGUUACACGGGUUCGAUUCCCGUUGGCCGCU
rnacentral:tRNA from 1 species